rnacentral:rRNA from 1 species
UACGGAGGGUGCAAACGUUGCUCGGAAUCAUUGGGCGUAAAGCGCACGCAGGCGGUCUGUUAAGUUUGGAGUGACAGUUGGUGGCUUAACUGCCAAAGUGCUUCGAAAACUGACAGACUUGAGGGCUUCAGAGGGACACGGAAUUCCGGGUGGAGUGGUGAAAUGCGUAGAGAUCCGGAGGAACACCAAAGGCGAAGGCAGUGUCCUGGGGAGUACCUGACGCUCAGGUGCGAAAGCCAGGGGAGCGAACGGG